UACGAAGGGGGCUAGCGUUGCUCGGAAUCACUGGGCGUAAAGGGCGCGUAGGCGGGUCUUUAAGUCAGGGGUGAAAUCCUUGAGCUCAACUCCAGAACUGCCUUUGAUACUGAAGAUCUUGAGUUCGGGAGAGGUGAGUGGAACUGCGAGUGUAGAGGUGAAAUUCGUAGAUAUUCGCAAGAACACCAGUGGCGAAGGCGGCUCCCUGGCCCGAUACUGACGCUGAGGCACGAAAGCGUGGGGAGCAAACAGG
rnacentral:rRNA from 1 species